rnacentral:misc_RNA from 1 species
GAUGAAGAACGCAGCGAAAUGCGAUACGUAAUGUGAAUUGCAGAAUUCAGUGAAUCAUCGAAUCUUUGAACGCAUAUUGCGCUCUCUGGUAUUCCGGAGAGCAUGCUUGUUUGAGUAUCAGUAAACACCUCAACUUCCAUAUCUUUUUUGAAAUGGGAGUUGGACUUGAGUGAUCCCAACGCUUUUCCUCACCGAAAAGUGGCGGGUUACUUGAAAUGCAGGUGCAGCUGGACUUUUCUCUGAGCUAUAAGCAUAUCUAUUUAGUCUGCCUAAAAAACAGAUUAUUACCUUUGCUGCAGCUAACAUAAAGGAGAUUAGUUCUUGUGCUGACUGAUGCAGGAUUCACAAAGACGGCUUCGGCCGACUUUGUAAACUCGAUCUCAAAUCAAGUAAGACUACCCGCUGAACUUAAGCAUAUCAAUAACGGAGGA